rnacentral:snRNA from 1 species
UCCUUGCAUAUGUAAAUUUU